rnacentral:rRNA from 1 species
AGGGUUUGAUUAUGGCUCAGGAUGAACGCUGGCGGCGUGCCUAACACAUGCAAGUCGAGCGAAGCGAUUAGAAUGAAGUUUUCGGAUGGAUUUCUGAUUGACUGAGCGGCGGACGGGUGAGUAACGCGUGGGUAACCUGCCUCAUACAGGGGGAUAACAGUUAGAAAUGACUGCUAAUACCGCAUAAGCGCACAGCAUCGCAUGAUGCCGUGUGAAAAACUCCGGUGGUAUGAGAUGGACCCGCGUCUGAUUAGCUGGUUGGUGAGGUAACGGCCCACCAAGGCGACGAUCAGUAGCCGACCUGAGAGGGUGACCGGCCACAUUGGGACUGAGACACGGCCCAA